rnacentral:rRNA from 1 species
CCCUUAGAUGUCCUGGGCCGCACGCGCGCUACACUGAGUGUCUGAGAUAAGAGUCUGCCUGGUCCGGCAAGGUCUAGGUAAUCGCUAAAAGACACAUCAUGCUUGGGAUAGAUUAUUGCAAAUAUUAAUCUUGAACGAGGAAUUCCUAGUAAGCGCAAGUCAACAGCUUGCGUUGAUUACGUCCCUGCCCUUUGUACACACCGCCCGUCGCUACUACUGAUUGGAUGUUUAAGCGAGGUUCUCGAACUGCUAGCGACUUAGCUUCGGUGAGGUCGCAGUGUGGGAAGUGAACCUAGCUUUGGUGUCUAGAGGAAGUAAAAGUCGUAACA